rnacentral:rRNA from 1 species
UCGCGGAUCAGCAUGCCGCGGUGAAUACGUUCCCUGGCCUUGUACACACCGCCCGGUCACACCAUGGGAGCCGGUAAUACCCGAAGUCAGUAGCCUAACCGCAAGGGGGCGCUGCCGAAGGUAGGAUUGGCGACUGGGGUGAAGUCGUAACAAGGUACC